AAAUGACUCCUCAGGUGUUAACUCAUCAACCCCGCCCCCUCAUACAUGCCUCGGUAGUAGACUGCUAACGUAGUGAUUCUGGGAGCUGCAGAUUGAACUUUUCUCCAGCUGAGAUGAUGUUGUUUGAAAAUGCUGGCAAAGGGGCAAUACGGAGGAGUCCAGAAGUACAUCAAAGUUCCACAGAGAAAUGAAAACUGUGAUUACCUCCAAUUUCUUCAUGAGGGAGAAAAGUGGGACGUAGUAUCACGUGCUUCGGGCACUGAAGUCGAUGCAGACAUAUUUGAUGAGCUGGUAAAGUCUGGUGUCCUGAACUUCAAGGUUAUAAGCUGCCGGUGUCCAGUAGCAGAUCUGGACAUUCAAAUAACCCUUCAGCAUCACCUGCUUCUUCAGUUUUGUCUGAUUCAACCGUUAUCCUAACAUCCACAAGAAAGAGGGACUUGAAUGAGCUGGAUCGUGAUGAAGCAAGCCAGAAGGAUUCCACCAACUAGUGUGCGGACUAGCUAUGCCCUUGGAGUUGUGACUCUUUUUCCAUACCUGCAGGAUCCAUACUCUAAAAAUGGAUAUGAACAUUACUAUGAUCCAGUGGCCAAUACUGGCUAUCUUGCCUGGAGGCUGAAGACUGUUCAACGCAACACCAACGAUGAAAUGAGACCAACGAGAAAAUGAGAGCAACAUUUGAGUACAGACAGAAGGUGGUUCAUGACAAGGAUGCAGCAUCUUCGGUCUUGGAUGUAUUCCCUCGUUUCCUUGACAUUCCUGGACUGAUGAGGACAUUCUGAUUUUUAAUAGUAUGUCAAGAGUUUGAAUCGAGGCAACUGGAUUCAUGGAUUUUUUUUCUGAAGACACUUUUCCACUCCUCCGAGAGGCUUCCUCUGUUCUCCUCAGCAGAACUGAGGAAGCAUCUUCAGAAAAAAAUCCAUGAAUCCAGUUGCCUCGAUUUAAACUCUUGGACAUAACAUGACCUGGAUGAAUGACUGCAUCCAGAGACAUUUUUAGUAGUAGUUCAAAUAUUUGCUGCUCCUCUCCAAGUUAAAUUAACCUGUACAUGGGCAUUGUGUCUCUGCUUAAAGAUUGAACAAGAUUUUUCCCUCAUGUUUGGCUCAUAUUUCAAGAACAAAGUCAUCACAGAAUGCCAGAAUCUUCCUUCAAAUCUUUAAGUUGAGGAGCUGCUGACAGUCUUUGACCCUGUGACUGAGAAUAAAUCUGGUAAGUGUGGUUUGUUUUGGUUUGUUUUCUCUCCAGUUGCCACUUGAGUUUUUGUUCUCUUUUAAUACACAUUUUGUUUCUAAGGAUGGGAUGGUGAUAUGUCAGCUAUCCUGUUGCCGUUACAUCUCCUGCCCCCUACAUCAUUUAAGUUUGUAAG